rnacentral:rRNA from 1 species
CAAUAGCGUAUAUUAAAGCUGUUGCGGUUAAAAAGCUCGUAGUUGGAUUUCUGUCAAGGACAACUGGUCCGCCCUCCGGGUGAGCACAUAGUUUGGUCUUGGCAUCUUGCUGGAAACUGUUGCUGCGCUUGGUUGUGUGGUGCAGCUUUCAGCACUUUCACUUUGAGGAAAUUGGAGUGUUUCAAGCAGGCACAUGCCUUUGGACACAGUAGCAUGGAAUAAUUAGAUUGGGCUUUUGCUCCAACUUGUUGGUUCCUGGAGCUGAGGUGAGAAUCAAUGGGGAUUGUUGGGGGCAUCCGAAUUCAGCCGUCAGAGGUGAAAUUCUUGGAUCUGCUAAAGACGGACAACUGCGAAAGCGUUUGCCCAGGAUGUUUNCAUUGA